rnacentral:antisense_RNA from 1 species
GGUAGCCAAAGAUGGUUGCGGGGUUCAGCGUCGGGUUGGUGAUGACGCGCACGUCACCGCCGCCAGGAGCCCAAGUGUCGUAGACACCUCCGAAAAACAUCGCCUUAAACACCAGCAGCAGCGCGCCGAUGCCAAGCACGACUAGGUGGAAACCCAAGAUGGUGGUCAUCUUGUUCUUAUCUUUCCA